CCACUGCCUUCACAUCCUCCGUA
rnacentral:miRNA from 1 species